rnacentral:tRNA from 1 species
UAGAAAAGUAGGAAUUGAACCUACAACUAAGAGAUCAAAACCCUC